CAUACAAAUUUAAUUAUCUAAGAAAAGAAUAGAUUUUUAAGACUCAAGGAGAACCCGGCAGCUGUGACCGAAAAAGCAUUUUAAAAUAGGAAGCGACGCGUGGCGAGAUGAGUGGGCAGAAAGAGAGCGGGCAGGGGUUUGACGGUGAGCACGUAAAUAUCUCGUGGGAGACGCGGUAGUGGCUGAGCAUCGCCCUAAGAUAUUUUGUCCAGCCAAUCAGCGCCCAGCUCUAGAUAUACACAAACACAACCGAGUCAUCAGAUCUUUAAAAUAAAAAAUAAAAAAAUAAAAAAUAAAAACUUGAGUUAAAUCAGGCCCAAGCGACGUGGCGCAAUGCUGUGCCAGCAAUAUAUCUUCUUGCCUUCUCUCCUCUUGCCCAACUUGGCUCGUGAUCCGUGUGGGUCCCGCCUGACACGUAUGGCCUUUUGCUAUUGGGCUUGGGCCCCAUCUGGCCUUUCGAGGUUUUGAAGGAUGAUGGUGGAUGAUGGUGUCACGGACUCGCGGGCAUGGAUGAGAUGCCAUGUGAGCCUUACCAUCAUACGUGCUGGGUUUCUAUUGGUUGGCGUAAAGUGAUUGGGCAGACGUCUCCGUUGACUAUAACUUCCUGUAUGGGCACCGGGCGCUUCGCUUUGCGUUUUCUUGGAGUGACAGAAAUGCCCUCGGAUAAUUGGAUAUUCUGUUAUUCUAUACCUGUAUUUUUCUCUCCGUAUACCAGUUUCCAAUGAAAAUUUUAGUAAACGUUGAAUAUUUGACAACUAACAAUAACCCUCAAUAUUUGACCAGUUCAUAGUAUUUUGGGGAGGAUGAUUUGUUCUAUUUUUCAAUUUUUUUUUCACCAAGAGGAGAGCAAAUUUUAAUGUGGAGUUUUUAUAUUAAUUGGAAGAAAUGUGUUAAGAUUUUCGAGUGCGAAUUAGUGGCUUAGUACUAUCAAUAUUGAUAUUGUCUCUAAUAUAUACAUUGCCUAACAUAUAUGAGAUUUUAUCACAAAAGACAUUAAUAUUAUUAAUAGUGGACUGCUCAUUAUAUGUUAUCU
rnacentral:lncRNA from 1 species